rnacentral:rRNA from 1 species
GACGAACGCUGGCGGCGUGCUUAACACAUGCAAGUUGAACGGAAAGGCCCUGCUUUUGUGGGGUGCUCGAGUGGCGAACGGGUGAGUAACACGUGAGUAACCUGCCCUUGACUUUGGGAUAACUUCAGGAAACUGGGGCUAAUACCGGAUAGGAGCUCCUGCUGCAUGGUGGGGGUUGGAAAGUUUCGGCGGUUGGGGAUGGACUCGCGGCUUAUCAGCUUGUUGGUGGGGUAGUGGCUUACCAAGGCUUUGACGGGUAGCCGGCCUGAGAGGGUGACCGGCCACAUUGGGACUGAGAUACGGCCCAGACUCCUACGGGAGGCAGCAGUGGGGAAUAUUGCACGAUGGGCGGAAGCCUGAUGCAGCAACGCCGCGUGCGGGAUGACGGCCUUCGGGUUGUAAACCGCUUUCGCCUGUGACGAAGCGUGAGUGACGGUAAUGGGUAAAGAAGCACCGGCUAACUACGUG